rnacentral:rRNA from 1 species
UGAAUACGAGAUGCUACGGCGUCGAAGCAGUGUAUGUCAGACUUCCAAGAAAAGCUCGCAAUGUCAUAAAUAAAGAAUGCCUGUACCAUAACCGACACAGGUGGGUAGGUAGAGUAUACUAAGGGGCGCGAGAUAACUCUCUCUAUGGAACUCGGCAAAAUAACUCCGUAGCUUCGGGAGAAGGAGUGCCUUCUUUAAGAAGGUUGCAAUAACAAGAUCCAAGCAACUGUUUAUCAAAAACACAGGUCUCCGCUAAGUCGUAAGACGAUGUAUGGGGGCUGACGCCUGCCCAGUGCCAGAAGGUUAAAGAAGUUGGUUAGCUUUUGCGAAGCUGAUGACUGAAGCCCUGGUGAACGGCGGCCGUAACGAUAACGGUCCUAAGGUAGCGAAAUUCCUUGUCGGGUAAGUUCCGACCCGCACGAAAGGCGUAAUGAUUUGGAUACUGUCUCGGAGAGGGACUCGGUGAAAUAGACUUGUCUGUGAAGAUGCGGACUACCUGCACCAGGACAGAAAGACCCUAUGAAGCUUUACUGUAACUUGAAAUUGAAAUUGGACUUUAUUUGCGCAGUAUAGGUGGAAGGCGUUGAAAGUAAUCUUGCGGGAUUAGUGGAGCCAUCAGUGAGAUACCACUCCUAUAAUGUUAGAUUUCUAACUUUGGAUCAUGAUCUGGUCAAAGAACAGUUUCAGGCGGGCAGUUUGACUGGGGCGGUCGCCUCCCAAAUGGCAACGGAGGCGUACAAAGGUUUCCUCUGAACGGGUAGAAAUCGUAUCUAGAGUGUAAAGGCAUAAGGAAGCUUGACUGUGAGACCUACAAGUCGAGCAGGGACGAAAGUCGGUCUUAGUGAUCUGACGGUGCUGAGUGGAAAGGCCGUCACUCAACGGAUAAAAGUUACUCUAGGAUAACAGGCUGAUCUCCCCCAAGAGUUCACAUCGACGGGGAGGUUUGGCACCUCGAUGUCGGCUCAUCGCAUCCUGGGGCGGUAGUACGUCCCAAGGGUUGGGCUGUUCGCCCAUGAAAGCGGUACGCGAGCUGGGUUCAGAACGUCGUGAGACAGUUCGGUCCAUAUCCGGUGUAGGCGUUAGAAUAUUGAGAGGAGCCUUCUUUAGUACGAGAGGACCGAGAAGGACAUACCUCUGGUGUACCAGUUAUCGUGCCAACGGUAAACGCUGGGUAGCUAUGUAUGGAGAGGAUAACCGCUGAAAGCAUCUAAGUGGGAAGCCCACCUCAAGAUGAGUAUUCUC